rnacentral:rRNA from 1 species
CCUACGGGAGGCAGCAGUAGGGAAUCUUCCACAAUGGACGCAAGCCUGAUGGAGCAACACCGCGUGAGUGAAGAAGGGUUUCGGCUCGUAAAGCUCUGUUGUUAAAGAAGAACACGUAUGAGAGUAACUGUUCAUACGUUGACGGUAUUUAACCAGAAAGUCACGGCUAACUACGUGCCAGCAGCCGCGGUAAU